rnacentral:rRNA from 1 species
CGGCGGACGGGUGAGUAAUGCCUAGGAAUCUGCCUGGUAGUGGGGGACAACGUUUCGAAAGGAACGCUAAUACCGCAUACGUCCUACGGGAGAAAGCAGGGGACCUUCGGGCCUUGCGCUAUCAGAUGAGCCUAGGUCGGAUUAGCUAGUUGGUAAGGUAAUGGCUCACCAAGGCGACGAUCCGUAACUGGUCUGAGAGGAUGAUCAGUCACACUGGAACUGAGACACGGUCCAGACUCCUACGGGAGGCAGCAGCG